GUGGGGAAUUUUGGACAAUGGGCGCAAGCCUGAUCCAGCAAUGCCGCGUGCAGGAAGAAGGCCUUCGGGUUGUAAACUGCUUUUGUACGGAACGAAACGGUCCGGGUUAAUACCCUGGGCUAAUGACGGUACCGUAAGAAUAAGCACCGGCUAACUACGUGCCAGCAGUCGCGGUAAUACGUAGGGUGCAAGCGUUAAUCGGAAUUACUGGGCGUAAAGCGUGCGCAGGCGGUUUUGUAAGACAGGCGUGAAAUCCCCGGGCUCAACCUGGGAAUUGCGCUUGUGACUGCAAGGCUGGAGUGCGGCAGAGGGGGAUGGAAUUCCGCGUGUAGCAGUGAAAUGCGUAGAUAUGCGGAGGAACACCGAUGGCGAAGGCAAUCCCCUGGGCCUGCACUGACGCUCAUGCACGAAAGCGUGGGGAGCAAACAGGAUUAGAAACCCCGGUAGUCC
rnacentral:rRNA from 1 species